AAUGGUUUAGCUUGCUAGACCAUGGCGAACGGGUGAGUAACACGUAGGUAACCUACCUUAAGGACGAGGAUAACCUUUGGAAACGAAGGAUAAUACUGGAUAGGACGUUACAAAUCACAUGAUUAAAUGUUUAAAGGAGCGAUCCACCAUAAGAGGGGCCUGCGGCGCAUUAGCUAGUUGGUGAGGUAAGGGCCCACCAAGGCGAUGAUGCGUAGCUGGACUGAGAGGUUGAACAGCCACAAUGGGACUGAGAACGGCCCAUACUCCUACGGGAAGCAGCAGUAGGGAAUUUUCGGCAAUGGGCGGAAGCCUGACCGAGCAAUGCCGCGUGAUCGAAGAAGUAUUUCGGUAUGUAAAGAUCUUUUAUUUGGGAAGAAAAAACAAAUUGACUGAACCAAAUGAAUAAGCUCCGGCUAACUACGUGCCAGCAGCCGCGGUAAUACGUAGGGAGCGAGCGUUAUCCGGAAUUAUUGGGCGUAAAGGGUGCGUAGACGGCAA
rnacentral:rRNA from 1 species